UACGUAGGGUGCAAGCGUUAAUCGGAAUUACUGGGCGUAAAGCGUGCGCAGGCGGUUAUGUAAGACAGAUGUGAAAUGCCCGGGCUUAACCUGGGAACUGCAUUUGUGACUGCAUGGCUAGAGUUUGGCAGAGGGGGGUAGAAGUUCCACGGUGUAGCAGUGAAAUGCGUAGAUAAUCAGGAGGACACCGAUGGCGAAGGCAAGGAUCUCUGG
rnacentral:rRNA from 1 species